GGGUGGUUCCCCAGAAGGGUCCCCACUCUUCACUCCUGUAGUCUAGGAGUGUGUCACCACCCACAGCUCAGCUGAGCUGGCCAGGAAUAUGUUACAGCUCCUUUCACUCUCGCUGUUUGGUGGGUCCCAAGUUCUUGUUUCGCAUCCAGGAAGAAUGAGAUUAUGUGGAUAACUGGAGGGUUUAAAACAUACUCCUCUUCUUCAUCGGUGGUAAAGAGAUUCAACCGGAAUCCAGGCUCAGGGCCACUGGGUUUCUUAAUCUCCAUCCCUCCCAUCAGCCUGGCCAAGAAAUUCAGCUCUUCUUUAGCAAGAGGGUUUGGAGCAAUGCUUUCCUGCAGAAACAAUUGCAUGAUUUUUAGCCACAUGAAGGCAAUCACAUUUCCUGCUAAAACCUCAGAGACACAGGGUACCAGAGGCCCCUUCAGGAUGGGACCACAUCUACGUCAGCUUCGUGUCCCUGGGUCCCCAGCCCAUAGAAGCAGUUUAAUAAAUGUUUGCUGAAUAAUUUAAUAUUCUGUGAUCUCUCCUACAGCUAGGCGGGAGCUAGUUCAGUGAAAACUUGUAAGGAUGGAAUUCAGAGAAACUAAAACUCCCGACUCUGACUUAGCUACCAUGGUGCUGUAGGGGGAAACGUUAAAAA